GCCAGACUCCUACGGGAGGCAGCAGUGGGGGAUAUUGCACAAUGGGGGGAACCCUGAUGCAGCGACGCCGCGUGGGUGAAGGAGCGUUUCGGCGCGUAAAGCCCUAUCGGCAGGGAAGAAGGAGGACGGUACCUGACUAAGAAGCCCCGGCGAACUACGUGCCAGCAGCCGCGGUAAUACGUAGGGGGCAAGCGUUAUCCGGAUUUACUGGGUGUAAAGGGGGCGCAGAAGGCAGCGCAAGCCAGGAGUGAAAGCCCGGGGCCCAACCCCGGGACUGCUCUUGGAACUGCGCGGCUGGAGUGCAGGAGGGGCAGGCGGAAUUCCUGGUGUAGCGGUGAAAUGCGUAGAUAUCAGGAGGAACACCGGUGGCGAAGGCGGCCUGCUGGACUGCGACUGACGUUGAGGCCCGAAAGCGUGGGGAGCAAACAGGAUUAGAUACCCCGGUAGA
rnacentral:rRNA from 1 species